GGGGCCGUGUGCUAGCCUGGUAUGCUUCCGGCUUGGGGUGCCGGCGACCUGAGUUCAAAUCUCAGCGGCCCCA
rnacentral:tRNA from 1 species